UACGAAGGGGGCUAGCGUUGUUCGGAAUCACUGGGCGUAAAGCGCAUGCAGGCGGGUCGUUAAGUUAGGGGGGAAAUCCCGAGGCUCAACCUCGGAACUGCCGCUGAUACUGGCGAUCUUGAGUCCGGGAGAGGUGAGUGGAACUGCGAGUGUAGAGGUGAAAUUCGUAGAUAUUCGCAAGAACACCAGUGGCGAAGGCGGCUCACUGGCCCGGUACUGACGCUGAGGUGCGAAAGCGUGGGGAGCAAACAGG
rnacentral:rRNA from 1 species